UACGUAGGGCGCAAGCGUUGUCCGGAAUUAUUGGGCGUAAAGAGCUCGUAGGCGGCUUGUCACGUCGGGUGUGAAAGCCCGGGGCUUAACCCCGGGUCUGCAUUCGAUACGGGCAGGCUAGAGUGUGGUAGGGGAGAUCGGAAUUCCUGGUGUAGCGGUGAAAUGCGCAGAUAUCUGGAGGAACACCGGUGGCGAAGGCAGCUCGCUGGGACGGUACUGACGCUGAGGCGCGAAAGCGUGGGGAGCGAACAGG
rnacentral:rRNA from 1 species